UGAUGAACCAUUCAUCCAGUGACCUGCCUCUAGUGAUGAUUGGAUGAGUGAAGUGGGCUGACCAACCUGAUCUCAUUCUCACAUCACAGAAUACCAUAGAACAGGUACAUAGCUAACCAGAUCACAUAGUUGCAUACACCCAGUACACUUCAUCAUGGUGGCUACAAAUAAAUCAGGUCUUGUACUAUUCCAUAUCAGUGUGUAUUAAGACCGAUGAGGUCUUGUACUAUUCCAUAUCAGUGUGUAUGGAGAUGUGUCGUCACUGGUAUUCCAGAAGGGGUAGACCGAUGAGGUCUUUUACUAUUCCACAUAAGUGUGUAUGGAGGGAGAUGAGGUCUUGUACUAUUCCAUAUCGGUGUGUGUGGUUCUUAACAAACUGUAAGAAUCUAGUAUUAGUGACUUGCAUCUUGUAAGAUGUUGUACCAAUAUGGACCGGUAAUAGUGUGAUUGUUAGGUACAUGUAUUUGGCAUUUGUAAAUCAGCUUUGCAUUGUGCAUUUGAAUUUGUUUACUUGUGUGAAAAUAUCUAAGUUAUUCAUUUUUAAAUGAUUUCUGUAAAAUUGAAAUAAAAGUAGUCAUCUUAUGUUAAUUUCAUAUUAGAUCUCUUCACUGAAUGAAAUGCUGCGAUAGGGCUUACCUACAUAAUUCUAUCCUUAAAGGGGAAAUGGGAGGGGAUGGGAGACAUAAGAUAACAUAUGGUGCUUCUACAGUGCUAUUAAAAUAUUGGAAGACAUUUUCAGUAUUUUGCAAAUGCAAUACUUGUUGUGUAAGAAGAGAUUUAUUUCCACAUAGCUUCUUACUUGUAAUAUUUUCUUGUACGCAGUGUCAAAAUAGAAUCAAAAUUGUUUGAUUUUUUCCCACAUUGUCCUAAGAUAUAUUAUAGUUAAAGGUAAUUCAAAUUGACAAACUAUUUCAUUGUUGUGAUAUUGUUUUUAUAGAGAUAUAUCUUUAAACUUGGCGGAAUUAAGAACUGGAGUUUAAAUUCAUCCACUAGAACUGAAAAGCUGAGUGCUAUUUUUCAUUAUAGAUGUUGAUGACAAGUAAGAUCUAGUAAUACAACUGUCUCAGGAGCUAGGACAAAACUAUGUGAUAUUAUGGAGAAUAUUAUGUUGUGAGCAAGGAAUAUACAGAUUUUGUUAAAAUUUGAAAAAUGAAAUAUAAAAAUAUACCCUUUAAAAGAAACAACUGUUAUCACAGUCUUUUCACUUCUCCAGACAGUACAUACAAUUCAGUAAAGAUCUGAAUCAUUUUCCAGGCUGUAAGUAGGUAUGGCUGGACAUAUCUUGUUGGCUUUUGUUGAACUUACUAGUAUUUCAUGCUGAGAGAUUCAUGUUCUUAUCAGUUCUUCCGAAAGCACUUCAGAGCAGUAGCAUACUCGACUUCUGCAUUGAUUCUUGUGGAGUUGACAUCUUUGGAUAACACAAUCAUAUGCCAUUAACCAGAGAUUUAAUGUGUAUAUUGUAUCCUUGUGGGACUUUGUGUGUUAUGUUUUUUACAUUGUAAUAUUUGCUCAAAAGCUGUUUGUAUGAAUGACUAGUGAUACAUGUUUUAUGAAGUCAGUAUUGAAUAAACAUUGCCAAACUGUG